GUUUUACCUGGUAAAGUGAAUGAUUAGAAGUCUUGGGGCUGAAACAAUCUCAACCUGUACUCAUACUUUCACUGGGUAAGAUGUCCAGCUCACUGGCAUGGAGCUGGGCCAUGGAAAGCU
rnacentral:ncRNA from 1 species